GAGGUUCAGGCAAAGGUGGGAAAGGGCCAUCUGCUCUCCAAGCGCCAACCGCCCGUGUCAGCGGGGGCUCCCAGGCUCCUCUGCCUGGGUCCUGAGUCUCGAGACUCCUCUGCUGAAUGGUCCCAUCUGUGUCUGCUGCUCGUGCCGCUUGCGAGGACCUCAGAUUCAGACUGGGGCCAAGUGGAAGGAGAGAGUUGGGUGUAGAAGCUGGAAGCUAAGAGACGUGAGAGACAGCGACUCAAGAGGCUCUCGGAUGCCCAGCUGGGGGUGCGCUUAUCUGCUGGCCACACAGAAGGCUGUGCUCCUGACCAGCUUGGGGUCCCCUCACUUUGUAAUUAAUGGCAAGUGUGUGUCGGUGUUUGAUGAGGAGCAGCUCAAGCAGUGGACCCACUGGAGUCAGCCCUGCUGGCAUGACCCCAGCCAGAGACUGGCAUCCUUUCUAGAAGAGAUUAGAACAGAGGGCCAUCCCUGUGAAGACACCCAGAAGGAAGCCGCCCUCCAGCCAAGAGACGCCUGAGGCCACCAGGGCUGGGAGAGAGGAACAGGUCCUCCCCUGGAGCCUUCAGAGGGAGCGGGCCCUGCCCACACGUUGAUCUCAGACUUCUGGCGCCAGAACUGACAGAAUAAACUGCUUUGUUUGAGCCGCC